rnacentral:rRNA from 1 species
UACAGAGACUGCAAGCGUUAAUCGGAAUUACUGGGCGUAAAGCGUGCGCAGGCGGUUUUGUAAGUCUGUCGUGAAAUCCCCGGGCUCAACCUGGGAAUGGCGAUGGAGACUGCAAGGCUAGAAUCUGGCAGAGGGGGGUAGAAUUCCACGUGUAGCAGUGAAAUGCGUAGAUAUGUGGAGGAACACCGAUGGCGAAGGCAGCCCCCUGGGCUAAGAUUGACGCUCAUGCACGAAAGCGUGGGGAGCAAACAGG